GAUGAACGCUAGCUACAGGCUUAACACAUGCAAGUCGAGGGGCAGCAUGGACAUAGCUUGCUAUGUUUGAUGGCGACCGGCGCACGGGUGCGUAACACGUAUCCAAUCUGCCCGUUACUCGGGGAUAGCCUUCUGAAAGGAAGAUUAAUACCCGAUGGCAUGUAUUUCCGGCAUCGGAGAUACAUUAAAGAUUUAUCGGUAACGGAUGAGGAUGCGUACGAUUAGCUUGUUGGCGGGGUAACGGCCCACCAAGGCGACGAUCGUUAGGGGUUCUGAGAGGAAGGUCCCCCACACUGGAACUGAGACACGGUCCAGACUCCUACGGGAGGCAGCAGUGAGGAAUAUUGGUCAAUGGUCGGAAGACUGAACCAGCCAAGUAGCGUGAAGGAUGACUGCCCUACGGGUUGUAAACUGCUUUUAGUUGGGAAUAAAAAGAGGGACGUGUCCCUAAUUGUAUGUACCAUCAGAAAAAGGACCGGCUAAUUCCGUG
rnacentral:rRNA from 1 species